rnacentral:rRNA from 1 species
GUCGAGAGGCUUCGUCAAUGGGGGAAACCCUGAACGAGCGACGCCGCGUGGGCGAUGAAGGCCUUCGGGUUGUAAAGCCCUGUCGUGUGGGAAGAAGGAUCUUACGGCAAACAGUCGUAGAAUCUUGACGGUACCGCAGAAGGAAGCUCCGGCUAACUCCGUGCCAGCAGCCGCGGUAAUACGGGGGGAGCGAACGUUGUUCGGAAUCACUGGGCGUAAAGGGCGCGCAGGCGGCCUAGUAAGUGGGAUGUGAAAGCCCCUGGCUCAACCAGGGAACUGCGUCCCAUACUGCUGGGCUUGAGUGCAGGAGAGGAUGGGGGAAUUCCCGGUGUAGCGGUGAAAUGCAUUGAUAUCGGGAGGAACACCAGUGGCGAAGGCGCCCAUCUGGCCUGCUACUGACGCUCAGGCGCGAAAGCCGGGGGAGCAAACAGGAUUAGAAACCCGAGUAGUCC